GGCGAAGAAGUAUUUCGGUAUGUAAAGCUCUAUCAGCAGGGAAGAAAGGCUCGUAAGAGAGAUGACGGUACCUGACUAAGAAGCCCCGGCUAACUACGUGCCAGCAGCCGCGGUAAUACGUAGGGGGCAAGCGUUAUCCGGAUUUACUGGGUGUAAAGGGAGCGCAGACGGUCAAGCAAGUCUGAAGUGAAACCCCACGGCUCAACCGUGGGCUUGCUUUGGAAACUGUUUAACUAGAGUACUGGAGAGGUAAGCGGAAUUCCUAGUGUAGCGGUGAAAUGCGUAGAUAUUAGGAGGAACAUCGGUGGCGAAGGCGGCUUACUGGACAGCAACUGACGUUGAGGCUCGAAGGCGUGGGGAGCAAACAGGAUUAGAUACCCUGGUAGUCCACGCGGUAAACGAUGAAUACUAGGUGUUGG
rnacentral:rRNA from 1 species